UGGGGAAUCUUGCACAAUGGGCGAAAGCCUGAUGCAGCGAUUCCGCGUGGAGGAUGACGCAUUACGGUGUGUAAACUCCUUUUUUGGUGGCGGACGAAUGACGGUACACCAAGAAUACGGGACGGCUAACUACGUGCCAGCAGCCGCGGUAAUACGUAGGUCCCAAGCGUUAUCCGGAUUUACUGGGCGUAAAGUGUCCGUGUCCGGAUAUACAAGUCUGUUUUCAAAUAUCCUGGCUCAACCAGGAAAAGGGAAUAGAGACUGUAUAUCUAGAGAAGAUUGGAGGUUAGUGGAAUUUCCGGUGGAGCGGUGAAAUGCGUUGAUAUCGGAAAGAACGCCGAAAGCGAAAGCAGCUAACUAUGAUAUUUCUGACGGUGAUGGACGAAAGCUUGAGUAGCAAACG
rnacentral:rRNA from 1 species